rnacentral:misc_RNA from 1 species
UCGAGUUUACAACUCCCAAACCCAUGUGAACCUUACCUAUUGUUGCUUCGGCGGGACUGCCCCGGUGCCUUGUGCCCGGAUCCAGGCGCCCGCCGGAGGCCCCCAAACUCUUGUUUCUACCCUGUGGUAUUAUCUGAGUGGCGUAAGCAAAUAAAUUA